rnacentral:rRNA from 1 species
CUACGGGACGCUGCAGUGGGGAAUAUUGCGUAAUGGGGGAAACCCUGACGCAGUGACGCCGUGUGAGUGAUGAAGGUUUUCGGAUCGUAAAGCUCUGUCAGACGGGAAGAAUAAGAACAGUAAAAAUAUUGCUGUUUGAUGACGGUACCGUCAGAGGAAGCACCGGCUAACUCCGUGCCAGCAGCCGCGGUAAUACGGAGGGUGCAAACGUUGUUCGGAAUUACUGGGCGUAAAGCGCAUGUAGGCGGAUAUGUAGGUCAGAUGUGAAAUCCCUUGGCUCAACCAAGGAAGUGCAUCUGAAACCCCAUAUCUUGAGUACGAGAGAGGGAAGUGGAAUUCCCAGUGUAGAGGUGAAAUUCAUAGAUAUUGGGAAGAACACCGGUGGCGAAGGCGGCUUUCUGGCUCGUAACUGACGCUGAGAUGCGAAAGCGUGGGGAGCAAACAGGAUUAGAUACCCUAGUAGUC